GUCCGUCUGGGCUCAGUAGUGAGGAACUUGUUAACCUUGUAGUGUGCAGCGGGCACAGUGUCCACCCAUGUGCAACGACUUUGAAUUCUUAUUCGCUGCUGACUGCGGUCCGAAGAAUACUGAAUAAAUGCGCAGCAGUGUGCUACCCUGAGCAGGGAACACGAUAUCAUGGAGUUUCUAACAUGGAGCAAGGUGACGGUGAUGCUACUAUCUAGGACCGCCCCCGCUUAGCUUCAGAGAUCAGAUGAAAUCAGGCGUGGUAUGGCCGUAAGCGAGAGGCUUCCUCAAUAACAGGGUUCAUGUAGAUACUGUAACCCAUUUAUUGUGAUUUAAAAAACAAUUUAGAGUGAAGGAUAUUGAUUAGUUUCUUCCUUCCUUUUUUUUAAUACCGGCACAUGACAGCACAGUUAUAAUGCAUACUUAAUGCUGCAAAAUUCACGUCAUAAACAGUUGUGAGUGUUUGCACAAAAACAUCUACAGGUGCUCUGUGCAUGUACAGUGAUAUUGAUAUAACGCUUGAAGAAUUUGACAUUACUACAUCAGUGGAAGAGCUCUUUGCGCAAGACUCACUAAGCACCCUAUUAGAAAAUGAGCUAAAAGAGUGUCUCAGAUUCGUUUCAAUAUUUAAACUGUCAUUUGUGUGUUGAAGUGCAAAAGCUUACAGCACCUGGUAUUCCCAGGCGGUCUCCCGUCCAAGUACUGACCAGGCCCGACCCUGCUGGCUUCCGAGAUCAGACGAGAUCGGGCGCGUUCAGGGUGGUAUGGCCGUAAGCGACAGAACGCUUCAGAAACAGCCUUUUUAUACAUGCUGUGAUGACACAGUCAUGCUUACGUUUUUUAUGUUCUGUGUAGAAGUUGAAUUCUCCAAACCACGAAAAUGUUGGACUUCCAAAUCGUCCUAACACACUGUGUGCUCUCUGUCACUUUAACACUGUGCUGUGAGAAACUAACAUGUGUUAUUAUCGUGACGUUACCGCGGGAAAAGCAUUUUUGCACCUCAGUGUUGAAGCUGCAGUUAACAACAAAGGCCGGCUUUGUGGGGUCGGGGUGAUGCAGCGCCGUGUCGGGCUGCCCUCGGACCUGGAGGGGCUCGGCAGAGUUGACUCCAUCAACUGCAACGAAACAGAAUGGGAAAUUACUAGUCAAGGAAGCAUCAUCAAGCAGUUAUUAACCUUACCAUAAUGACUGUAUUGUAUGGACCACAUCUCCUCCUCAUUGGGUCAAGAUGAAUUUGCAGAAACAUAUCUGACAUGAGGCAAUUAUUAAUAACUAUGUUUCCAAAAACUUCUUAUAAAUCCUAAUUCUUUUAAUUUCCACAUAUAUUAUGUUUAUUUCAUCAUCACCUUGUCAAUGUAAUGUUACAUUCUCCAUUUGUGUAUGUGUAUAUUUCCGUUUUUUCCAUAUGUAAAUAUGGUUCUGUUAAGUGUUUAUAAGCAACCAAGUUUUUGUAAUCUGAUUAUACUGCUAUUUAUUUUUUAUACAUGCUAUUUAAAAAAAAGCAUGAUAGAGGACCCACACAUGUCUGUGCCAGUCAGGCUAGUCCUGUAAAAGCACUUACUUGUAUUUCGCCACCCUGGCUGCUGUUGUGUGGUGACGGUCCAGGGGAUGCUGCAGCUGAACUCUGGGAUUUAUCAGGAUACUAAAGGAAAACAGCACCAGUGUAAAAAUACUGAGAUGCAGUAAUACCACCAAACACUUCCGCUAUGACUGUACAUAGCUAAACAUACAGGUGAAGGGGAUCAAAACAUCACACACAAACAGGAAUACUUACAGGGUUAGCCAUGUCUUCCAGCACCUGGGCCGGCCCUGCGGGGGAGGAUGAGAAGUCUUCGGGACUCUAUUAAGGACACAUGAACUGUAAAUACCCCAAACCUUCUUAUAGUUUGUUUAUUUUUAUUUAUUUUAUUUUUCUGCACAGCUGGAAGUUAUUGCGUCUCGUACCUCUAUUGUGUACCUCGUCACGGCAUUCCUGUGUUUCACGUACCCGUCCAGCCACGACAGGGACUUCAGCAGCGGAGGGGUUCUCGCUGGUCUCGCUGGCUGGCCGCUUUUGCUGGUGAACUUUUUCUUGGCCCGAACAUACCUGUCCCGAAGUUGCUUCCACUUCUCCCGGCAUUUGUCAGGCUCUGUCUGGAGGGCGGCUGCUAUUUCUUGCCACGACUUGAUGCUAACGUGCGGGUUCUUGUAAUACUUGUGUCCAGGGUCAUAAAGGUUGUGGUGUAACGCAAUUUGUUCAGCUAACUGUUCCUCGAAACUUUCGAGCGCUGCCAUUUUUGUCAGCUUCCGUGAAGGUUUUCUCUUUCCGGGUCAACUCAGUGUUUCAACCAAUCAGCAUUCGAUCUACGUAUAGCGUCAUCAACGUCGACUACGUGCUGUUUGUUAUGAUUAUUAUUGUUAUUAUUGUUAAUAAUAAUAAUAAUAAUAAUAAUAAUAAUAAUAAUAAUAAUAAUAAUAAUAAUAAUUAAUAUAGAGAUAUAGAGAUACGAUUAAAAUGCCUAAAUAACAUAUGCAAAUUAAGAUUUUUGCAGUUGCAUCUUCACGCUAAUUUCUGCCAAAAAGGGAAACAAAUGA
ensembl:lncRNA